GACGGAGGAUGCAAGCGUUAUCCGGAAUGAUUGGGCGUAAAGCGUCUGCAGGUGGCAGUUCAAGUCUGCUGUCAAAGACCGGGGCUUAACUUCGGAAGGGCAGUGGAAACUGAACAGCUAGAGUAUGGUAGGGGCAGAGGGAAUUCCUGGUGUAGCGGUGAAAUGCGUAGAGAUCAGGAAGAACAUCGGUGGCGAAGGCGCUCUGCUGGACCAUAACUGACACUCAGGGACGAAAGCUAGGGGAGCGAAUGGG
rnacentral:rRNA from 1 species